rnacentral:rRNA from 1 species
UUGAAGAGUUUGAUCAUGGCUCAGAUUGAACGCUGGCGGCAGGCCUAACACAUGCAAGUCGAACGGUAACAGGAAGCAGCUUGCUGCUUUGCUGACGAGUGGCGGACGGGUGAGUAAUGUCUGGGAAACUGCCUGAUGGAGGGGGAUAACUACUGGAAACGGUAGCUAAUACCGCAUAACGUCGCAAGACCAAAGAGGGGGACCUUCGGGCCUCUUGCCAUCGGAUGUGCCCAGAUGGGAUUAGCUUGUUGGUGGGGUAACGGCUCACCAAGGCGACGAUCCCUAGCUGGUCUGAGAGGAUGACCAGCCACACUGGAACUGAGACACGGUCCAGACUCCUACGGGAGGCAGCAGUGGGGAAUAUUGCACAAUGGGCGCAAGCCUGAUGCAGCCAUGCCGCGUGUAUGAAGAAGGCCUUCGGGUUGUAAAGUACUUUCAGCGGGGAGGAAGGGAGUAAAGUUAAUACCUUUGCUCAUUGACGUUACCCGCAGAAGAAGCACCGGCUAACUCCGUGCCAGCAGCCGCGGUAAUACGGAGGGUGCAAGCGUUAAUCGGAAUUACUGGGCGUAAAGCGCACGCAGGCGGUUUGUUAAGUCAGAUGUGAAAUCCCCGGGCUCAACCUGGGAACUGCAUCUGAUACUGGCAAGCUUGAGUCUCGUAGAGGGGGGUAGAAUUCCAGGUGUAGCGGUGAAAUGCGUAGAGAUCUGGAGGAAUACCGGUGGCGAAGGCGGCCCCCUGGACGAAGACUGACGCUCAGGUGCGAAAGCGUGGGGAGCAAACAGGAUUAGAUACCCUGGUAGUCCACGCCGUAAACGAUGUCGACUUGGAGGUUGUGCCCUUGAGGCGUGGCUUCCGGAGCUAACGCGUUAAGUCGACCGCCUGGGGAGUACGGCCGCAAGGUUAAAACUCAAAUGAAUUGACGGGGGCCCGCACAAGCGGUGGAGCAUGUGGUUUAAUUCGAUGCAACGCGAAGAACCUUACCUGGUCUUGACAUCCACAGAACUUUCCAGAGAUGGAUUGGUGCCUUCGGGAACUGUGAGACAGGUGCUGCAUGGCUGUCGUCAGCUCGUGUUGUGAAAUGUUGGGUUAAGUCCCGCAACGAGCGCAACCCUUAUCCUUUGUUGCCAGCGGUCCGGCCGGGAACUCAAAGGAGACUGCCAGUGAUAAACUGGAGGAAGGUGGGGAUGACGUCAAGUCAUCAUGGCCCUUACGACCAGGGCUACACACGUGCUACAAUGGCGCAUACAAAGAGAAGCGACCUCGCGAGAGCAAGCGGACCUCAUAAAGUGCGUCGUAGUCCGGAUUGGAGUCUGCAACUCGACUCCAUGAAGUCGGAAUCGCUAGUAAUCGUGGAUCAGAAUGCCACGGUGAAUACGUUCCCGGGCCUUGUACACACCGCCCGUCACACCAUGGGAGUGGGUUGCAAAAGAAGUAGGUAGCUUAACCUUCGGGAGGGCGCUUACCACUUUGUGAUUCAUGACUGGGGUGAAGUCGUAACAAGGUAACCGUAGGGGAACCUGCGGUUGGAUCACCUCCUU